CUCCUCUCAGGGUCGCACCUGGAGAGUUUUCCGUACCCUACCAGUCUCGGCUAUGGGAGGGAGAGUCAAGCGGAGAUCUGUCCGUUCCAUUCCUAGCUUGGCCAGUGGCUAGCGAGCGGAAGGCCAUCUGCUACAAGU